UUAAAUAUUUUCCCUUCUUUGUUGAAAAUUCCACACUACAGUGUAUUAUUUUCAGUACAUAAGAUUUUCUCAACACUUUUCUAUUCAGACAAAGAAAAUCUUAUUAAAAGAAAGUUGAAAAAAGUUAGGCGUGCCCACGUUUUUUUUUAUAUAUAUAAUCAAGUCUUAAAGAUUUGAAAAGAAAGUUAAAAGCAAAUAUUUAUAUU